UGGGUAUUGAAUGGUUUGAACCUGAUGUCUUUGGCCUAGCCGCCUAGUUAGCAAAGUAUUUGUUCACUUGUCUACAUGUCAUGUAAGUCGAGGGGCAUUUCACUCCAAAAAAGCGUACGGGAUUUUCGGAUUUUUAAAAAUCCGCGCAUUUUUUAGCGGAUUUAGCGGAUUUUUCCCGGAUUUUUUAGCGGAUUUUUGAAGAGAAAAUUUGCUGGAUUUUCGGGAUUUGUUCGGAUUUUCCGGAUUUGUUCGGAUUUUUUCUGGAUUUUUGAAAAUCUGUUGGAUUUUCCGGAUUUGUUUGGAUUUUCCGGAUUUUUUCUGGAUUUUUUUAAAUUAUAGAGUUAUAGAGCUAGGUAACGUUUUGAACAAAUAAUCUUAAGUUGUACGACGUCAACGUUAUGCCAGGACGUCAGGAUCGAGCAGAGGACUGGGACUAGGACCACACCCUUCAGAAACUAACGAAGGCUGGGCAUGUAGUCAUUUUGUUUAAAAUUCAAACGAGUUCAUUAUUCUUUCAAAAACAGUAAAAGACAAUGGUGAAUAACUUUUGGUUUUGUAAUUAUAUUUUACAACAUAACGUCAUUGUAACAAGAACACAUAUUUAGUAGUAAUAGGCUAAAAAAAGCGAGCGUAUAAAUGGAAAUGUAGAGUAGUCCAAUAAUUACGAAAUAUAAUGACAGCGAAUCAGCGAUCACGAUAAGCGUAAUAGCUUUCGCUGUCCGCCAUUUUGAACGUGGCAAAGAACCUUUACGAGUAAAUUACACCAAGUACUUCAUAUAUUUUUUGUGGAUUUGCGGAUUUUUUGAGGAUUUUGAAGGAUUUCUGUGGAUUUUUGAAGGAUUUCUGUGGUUUUUAA